rnacentral:rRNA from 1 species
UCCUGGCUCAGGACGAACGCUGGCGGCGUGCCUAACACAUGCAAGUCGAGCGAGGAGAUUCCUCGGGAUGAUCCUAGCGGCGGACGGGUGAGUAACACGUGGGCAACCUGCCUCAUAGAGAGGAAUAGCCUUCCGAAAGGGAGAUUAAUACCUCAUAACAUUGCAGUUUCGCAUGAAACAGCAAUUAAAGGAGCAAUCCGCUAUGAGAUGGGCCCGCGGCGCAUUAGCUAGUUGGUGAGGUAACGGCUCACCAAGGCGACGAUGCGUAGCCGACCUGAGAGGGUGAUCGGCCACAUUGGGACUGAGACACGGCCCAGACUCCUACGGGAGGCAGCAGUGGGGAAUAUUGCACAAUGGGGGAAACCCUGAUGCAGCCAACGCCGCGUGAGUGAUGACGGCCUUCGGGUUGUAAAGCUCUGUCUUCAGGGACGAUAAUGACGGUACCUGAGGAGGAAGCCACGGCUAACUACGUGCCAGCAGCAGC